UAGAAACAGAUUGUAACAUACCAGCAAAGACUGAUAUAGGCAUAAUCAGAUUUAGAGGUGGGGCAAGAUGACCUCUCUGCUUCCUGUCAUGUCCUUGACAUAUGAUUCCAUGAUCCCGUGAUUAGUUUUUAAUUCAGUACCAUAUCAAUGUCAUUACUUGCUUUGUUUAUUCACUUUUUUUGCCAGCAUUUCUUCUGCUGGUAUCAUCCCUCUCUUCCCUCUCCUGCUCUCUGAUAGCCUAUCUUAGUGUCUUGUUGUCCUUCUCCUCCCUGAAAGGCAAACUCUUUCAUAUCAUUAGUUUUUCUCACACCACCACCUUAUAAACAGCAAUUUUCUUCAGUUGCACAUUCAAAGUAGGUGGUUUUACCCCCAGACAUUUAAGCACAGAAAGGUGAAUCAUUGUUUUUUGUUCCUUCUUUAUGUUCUCAGAAGGGUGGUGGGUUGUGUGCUCUCAGUGACGUGAAGCUUUCUCUCACACCUAUGGGCCAAAAUCUCUGCUUCAGGAUUUAAACAAAAGUGUGUUCUACAAGUUUAGAAACAAGGGGAAGGGUAAAAAAGAAGCUAUUACAAGCUGAAAGUCUUACAGAUGCCUAUUUUUAUCGCAUGUUAGACAUUUAAGCACAGAUUUUGGCGGCAGGCCUACUCAGCUCCAUCCACAGUCAACUGAGAGAGAGGAGCAUUUCUGGUGUGUGAUUCAUCCUGACUAACACCUGAGUUGCCUCCUCAUGUUGCCAAUUACAGGACUUGAGAGAGACUUGGCUUUGGGCUGGGGGCCUUAGGGGGCUGGAGGCACUCAGGUGCUGUCAAAGGCACUGUUGUAAGCAGGAACGAAUGAACCUGGUUAGCUAAAGGAAGCAAAUUGUUAAGGUGAGUGGUAAUUGCAAUAAGUAAUACUGUCCUGGGAUGAUGGGGAAAUGUUUGAAGCAACCCAUUUUUUUUCAGUACUACAAAGGACUGUAAUAUGUUCCAGGAACAGUUUUGAGAACUCUGUUUCAGUUGUCCUUAACUGUGCUGAUGUUUAAUUUUUGCGUGUUUUGGCCUGUUUAAAAAAUCAUUCUAUCUGAAGAAAAGAAAAUCCCAGUGAAACUGUGGGCAAAUCCUGUUUUUGCUGAGCUUGAAGUGAUAGAAAAUAGCUAAGUUGUGCUGGGGAGUGGUGCUUUGACUUAUUUCUGCUUCCUGUAAAUCCUUCUCUCCUCUCCUUGGUUUGACCCUUAGCUUUACAUCCAGGUGAUCUGGGCUGGUUGGUGUGCUCCCUCCUGCCUGGCUCAAGGGGCUGGACAAUUUCAAUUUUCUACUGCAUGCUGAGGGAUUCAAAGCAGGAGUCCCAUGGACUCAACUCACAAUGCCUCACUAAGCGUGGCAUGCAGAACAUAGGACAUUUACAGCUGCAGCUGGGUUCUGGUGUGCUUGGGCAGCAGCCUGAUGGAAAAGAAGACAAAGGAUGGAACUGUAUUUAUAGCAUGAGCAACUUGGUCCCCAUUGGUAUGUUCACUGCAUCCCAGAGAAUUAAUGGCUCU